UACGAAGGGGACUAGCGUUGUUCGGAAUUACUGGGCGUAAAGCGAACGUAGGCGGUGUUCCAUGUCAGAGGUGAAAGCCUGGGGCUCAACUCCAGAAUUGCCUUUGAAACGGGGACGCUUGAGUCCGAGAGAGGGUGGCGGAAUUCCUAGUGUAGAGGUGAAAUUCGUAGAUAUUAGGAAGAACACCAGUGGCGAAGGCGGCCACCUGGCUCGGUACUGACGCUCAGGUUCGAAAGCGUGGGGAGCAAACAGG
rnacentral:rRNA from 1 species